GCGCUUGCUUCGGCAGUACAUAUACUAAAAUUGGAACAAUACAGGGAAGGCAUAGCUCCUGCACAAGGAUGACAUGCAAAUUCGUGAAGCGUUCCAUAUUUUA